rnacentral:rRNA from 1 species
UAAGUCUCAGUUCGGAUUGAAGGCUGAAAUUCGCCUUCAUGAAGCCGGAAUUGCUAGUAAUGGCAGGUCAGCAUACUGCCGUGAAUACGUUCCCGGGCCUUGUACACACCGCCCGCCACACCAUGAGAGUUGGGAAUACCCGAAGCCUGUGAGCUAACAGUAGAGGCAGCAGUCGAAGGUAGAAUCAAUGAUUGGGGUGAAGUCGUAACAAGGUACC